rnacentral:miRNA from 1 species
ACCUCAUCUAUCGCAAGGAAUUCCUUCCGGUCAAUGGGGUUGUUAUACCUCAUCAAUCUGAAGGAAAUCCUUCCAAUUGAUGAGGCAUAACAACCUCAUCGACCGGAAGGAUUCCUUCUGGUUGAUGGGGU